ensembl:lincRNA linc-114 ncRNA
UUGUACUCACACUGUCAUAAUUGUUUUUAUUAAAGCGUGCACUAUGCCAAACAAUCUCCGGGACCCUGAGCAACAUCCCUUUGGUACUGUUCAAUCUCACGAUUCCUGGAGGCUCAUUAGUCAGAGGAUUCAUGGAACCGUGUCGGCUACUGUCGUUCUGUUUCUGCAACUCCCGAAACGAAAAGUGAUCCGUUUUUCAGAGCCCUCGAAAAAGAGCUGACAACAACGAAUUCAGCUGCCUUCAACCCAAUUCCAUUAUCCAAUUAUUAUUUUUGAAUUUCCUUGCUAUCAUGUUUUUCUUCGAAUUCUAAGUCAUAAAAUUAUUUUACAUCG